UACGAAGGGAGCUAGCGUUGUUCGGAAUUACUGGGCGUAAAGGGUGCGUAGGCGGUUGUUUAAGUCUGUCGUGAAAUCCCCGGGCUCAACCUGGGAAUGGCGAUGGAUACUGGGCAGCUAGAGUGUGUCAGAGGAUGGUGGAAUUCCCGGUGUAGCGGUGAAAUGCGUAGAGAUCGGGAGGAACAUCAGUGGCGAAGGCGGCCAUCUGGGACAACACUGACGCUGAAGCACGAAAGCGUGGGGAGCAAACAGG
rnacentral:rRNA from 1 species